GAGAGUGUGUCAGUGUAGAGAGUGUGUCAGUGUAGAGAGAGUGUGUCAGUGUAGAGAGAGUGUGUCGGUGUAGAGAGUGUGUUAGUGUAGAGAGAGUGUGUCAGUGUAGAGAGAGUGUGUCAGUGUAGAGAGAGUGUGUGUAGAGAGAGUGUGUGUAGAGAGAGUGUGUCAGUGUAGAGAGAGUGUUUCAGUGUAGAGAGUGUGUUAGUGUAGAGAGAGUGUGUGUAGAGAGAGUGUGUCAGUGUAGAGAGAGUGUGUCAGUGUAGAGAGAGUGUGUCAGUGUAGAGAGAGUGUCAGUGUAGAGAGUGUGUUGGUGUAGAGAGUGUGUCAGUGUAGAGAGUGUGUCAGUGUAGAGAGUGUCAGUGUAGAGAGAGUGUGUCAGUGUAGAGAGUGUGUCAGUGUAGAGAGUGUGUCAGUGUAGAGAGAGUGUGUCAGUGUAGAGAGAGUGUCAGUGUAGAGAGUGUGUCAGUGUAGAGAGUGUGUCAGUGUAGAGAGUGUGUCAGUGUAGAGAGAGUGUGUCAGUGUAGAGAGAGUGUGUCAGUGUAGAGAGAGUGUCAGUGUAGAGAGUGUGUGUAGAGAGAGUGUGUUAGUGUAGAGAGAGUGUGUCAGUGUAGAGAGUUUGUCGGUGUAGAGAGAGUGUGUCAGUGUAGAGAGUGUGUCAGUGUAGAGAGUGUGUCAGUGUAGAGAGUUUGUCGGUGUUGAGAGAGUGUGUCAGUGUAGAGAGAGUGUGUGUAGAGAGAGUGUGUCAGUGUAGAGAGAGUGUGUGUAGAGAGAGUGUGUUAGUGUAGAGAGAGUGUGUGUAGAGAGAGUGUGUCAGUGUAGAGAGAGUGUGUCAGUGUAGAGAGAGUGUCAGUGUAGAGAGAGUGUGUGUAGAGAGAGUGUGUGUAGAGAGAGUGUGUCAGUGUAGAGAGAGUGUUUCAGUGUAGAGAGUGUGUUAGUGUAGAGAGAGUGUGUGUAGAGAGAGUGUGUCAGUGUAGAGAGAGUGUGUCAGUGUAGAGAAGGUGUGUCAGUGUAGAGAGAGUGUGUGUAGAGAGAGUGUCAGUGUGGAGAGAGUGUCAGUGUAGAGAGAGUGUGUCAGUGUAGAGAGUGUGUCAGUGUAGAGAGAGUGUGUCAGUGUAGAGAGUGUGUCAGUGUAGAGAGAGUGUGUCAGUGUAGAGAGAGUGUGUCAGUGUAGAGAGAGUGUCAGUGUAGAGAGAGUGUGUUGGUGUAGAGAGUGUGUCAGUGUAGAGAGUGUCAGUGUAGAGAGAGUGUGUCAGUGUAGAGAGUGUGUCAGUGUAGAGAGAGUGUGUCAGUGUAGAGAGAGUGUGUGUAGAGAGAGUGUGUGUAGAGAGAGUGUGUCAGUGUAGAGAGUGUGUCAGUGUAGAGAGUGUGUCAGUGUAGAGAGAGUGUGUGUGUAGAGAGAGUGUGUUAGUGUAGAGAGAGUGUGUCAGUGUAGAGAGAGUGUGUCGGUGUAGAGAGAGUGUGUUAGUGUAGAGAGAGUGUGUCAGUGUAGAGAGUUUGUCGGUGUAGAGAAAGUGUGUCAGUGUAGAGAGUGUGUCAGUGUAGAGAGAGUGUGACAGUGUAGAGAGAGUGUUUCAGUGUAGAGAGUUUGUCGGUGUUGAGAGAGUGUGUCAGUGUAGAGAGAGUGUGUCAGUGUAGAGGAAGUGUGUCAGUGUAGAGAGAGUGUGUGUAGAGAGAGUGUGUCAGUGUGGAGAGAGUGUCAGUGUAGAGAGAGUGUGUCAGUGUAGAGAGUGUGUCAGUGUAGAGAGAGUGUGUCAGUGUAGAGAGAGUGUCGGUGUAGAGAGUGUGUCGGUGUAGAGAUAGUGUGUCAGUGUAGAGAGAGUGGGUCAGUGUAGAGAGUGUGUCAGUGUAGAGAGAGUGUGUCAGUGUAGAGAGAGUGUCAGUGUAGAGAGUGUGUCAGUGUAGAGAGAGUGUCAGUGUAGAGAGAGUGUCAGUGUAGAGAGAGUGUGUCGGUGUAGAGAGUGUGUUAGUGUAGAGAGAGUGUGUCAGUGUAGAGAGAGUGUGUCAGUGUAGAGAGUGUGUUAGUGUAGAGAGAGUGUCAGUGUAGAGAGAGUGUGUCAGUGUAGAGAGAGUGUGUGUAGAGAGAGUGUGUGUAGAGAGAGUGUGUCAGUGUAGAGAGAGUGUUUCAGUGUAGAGAGUGUGUUAGUGUAGAGAGAGUGUGUGUAGAGAGUGUGUCAGUGUAGAGAGAGUGUGUCAGUGUAGAGAAGGUGUGUUAGUGUAGAGAGAGUGUGUGUAGAGAGAGUGUGUCAGUGUGGAGAGAGUGUCAGUGUAGAGAGAGUGUGUCAGUGUAGAGAGUGUGUCAGUGUAGAGAGAGUGUCAGUGUAGAGAGUGUGUCAGUGUAGAGAGUGUGUCAGUGUAGAGAGUGUGUCAGUGUAGAGAGAGUGUCAGUGUAGAGAGUGUGUUGGUGUAGAGAGUGUGUCAGUGUAGAGAGUGUGUCAGUGUAGAGAGAGUGUGUCAGUGUAGAGAGAGUGUCAGUGUAGAGAGUGUGUGUAGAGAGAGUGUGUUAGUGUAGAGAGAGUGUGUCAGUGUAGAGAGAGUGUGUCAGUGUAGAGAGAGUGUCAGUGUAGAGAGUGUGUGUAGAGAGAGUGUGUUACUGUAGAGAGAGUGUGUCAGUGUAGAGAGUUUGUCGGUGUAGAGAGUGUGUCAGUGUAGAGAGUGUGUCAGUGUAGAGAGUGUGUCAGUGUUGAGAGAGUGUGUCAGUGUAGAGAGAGUGUGUCAGUGUCGAGAGUGUGUCAGUGUAGAGAGAGUGUGUCAGUGUAGAGAAGUGUGUCAGUGUAGAGAGAGUGUGUGUAGAGAGAGUGUGUCAGUGUGGAGAGAGUGUCAGUGUAGAGAGAGUGUGUCAGUGUAGAGAGAGUGUGUCAGUGUAGAGAGAGUGUCAGUGUAGAGAGUGUGUCGGUGUAGAGAGAGUGUGUCAGUGUAGAGAGUGUGUCAGUGUAGAGAGUGUGUCAGUGUAGAGAGAGUGUGUCAGUGUAGAGAGAGUGUGUGUAGAGAGAGUGUGUCAGUGUAGAGAGUGUGUCAGUGUAGAGAGAGUGUGUCGGUGUAGAGAGUUGUAGAGUGUAGAGAGAGUGUGUCAGUGUAGAGAGUGUGUGUCAAGAGUGUGUCAGUGUAGAGAGAGUGUGAGAGUGUAGAGAGAGUGUGUCAGUGUAGAGAGAGUGUGUCGGUGUAGAGAGUGUGUCAGUGUAGAGAGAGUGUGUUAGUGUAGAGAGUGUGUCAGUGUAGAGAGUGUGUCAGUGUAGAGAGUGUGUCAGUGUAGAGAGUCUGUCAGUGUAUAGAGAGUGUGUCAGUGUAGAGAGUGUGUCAGUGUAGAGAGUGUGUCAGUGUAGAGAGUGUGUCAGUGUAGAGAGUGUGUCAGUGUAGAGAGUGUGUCAGUGUAGAGAGUGUGUCAGUGUAGAGAGUGUGUCAGUGUAGAGAGUGUGUCGGUGUAGAGAGAGUGUGUCAGUGUAGAGAGAGUCAGUGUAGAGAGUGUGUCAGUGUAGAGAGUGUGUCAGUGUAGAGAGAGUGUGUCGGUGUAGAGAGAGUGUGUCAGUGUAGAGAGAGUCAGUGUAGAGAGUGUGUCAGUGUAGAGAGAGUGUGUCAGUGUAGAGAGUGUCAGUGUAGAGAG
ensembl:lncRNA